CGUAAUGUAAAAUAGUAGGCACAUAGUUGAAUGAAGGCUCAGGCGGAGAGGAUCACUUUUCAAAGAUUGUAAAAGAAGUUACGUGGAUAGUGUGUGUUAUGCAGCAAGGAAAGGAAUGGAAAAUCAGAAGACGUGUUUAGAUCACACAAACCAGAGGUGAAAGCUGAAUCUGAGAGGCUUCUGUUUCCAGCAAUAAGGCCAAUAAUACCCCAAGCUCCUGACUGAAACCAAACACUCUGGAGGGACACUCUCACAUGCAGGCCAGAAGGAAUUUGAAUAGAAGGAAACAGGCUAAAGAAGAGAGCUCAUGGCAAAAAUUACAAACCAUACAAGGAAGGCAUUCACCACAGUGAGAUAGAGACGAGGUUUCACCGUAUUAGCCAGGAUGGUCUCGAUCUCCUGACCUCGUGAUCCGCCCGCCUCGGCCUCCCAAAGUGCUGGGAUUACAGGCGUGAGCCACCGCGCCCGGCCUAGAAUCUGCUUUUUAACAACAUAAUUCAAGUUUGAGAAGCUCUGCUAAAAAAAAAAAAAAGCAACAAAAAAGAUGCCCUUCCUUACCUGUUCAGGUACGUGGUUUCUUCAAAUGUUCCUGUGUCUUCCCUAAAUACAAACCUACUUUCUCUGCUGGAUCCUCUCAACCACAUCUAAACAUUUAAAUCUCUCCCAUUCUAAAUCAACAUUCAAGCCAUUUUUAAAAACUGCCCUAUAACCUCUUAUCUCCAGGUAGUGAAUGAUUUAUGCUCUUUUCCUCUACAAAGCCAAACAUCUUCAAAGACUUUCUUAUAUUCUAUUUCUAUUUUGCUUCCUUUAUUUCUCAACACACUUUUAAAAGAGAUCAUUAGCUGUUGUCCCCUAUCAAGUCUUCCUCUUUUUCAUGGUAAUAAUACCCUAGCAUUUAGCCAGGCACCUGACUGUAAAGACGCUAAAGACUGUAAAGGCACUUGAGUAAAUAUCAUUUUCUAGCUUCCCUUCCAGUUCUGUGUGCCCAUGUUUCUAGGUUCUGAUUGUUGGGAUGCUAAUGGAAAUGAUAUGUGUAUCUUCUGAGAAAUUAUCUUAAAUGGAGAGAGUAUAACCUUCUUGUUUCUUACCUCUUUUCUUCUGGUGCAAUGUGGAUGAAAUGCUCAAAUGCCACCAGCCAACAUGGACCAUAAAUUAAAUUUGGAAUGGAAGCCACACAUGACAUGGGAACAAGAUGGAAAACUUUAGGUUAUCAUUGGGAUUUCCUGGCUUUUCCAAUCAACCUAUGGCCUCUAACAAGCUCACAAAACAGCAGGCUGAAGCUAUGUUCAUCUAAAAGCAAAACAUUUGGUCAAUUAAACCAAUUUAAUAAAAAAACUGAAUUUAUUGGAAGGACAGCAAUUUUCUUCUUGAAUAGUUAGUUUGGCAUCAUGUGGGCAAAGCAUUAAACUCUGGAACGUUUUUUCUUCUCCCGAUUUAAAUUUGGAAUUUGAAAGUAUGGCUUUCCUUGUGCUUCCUUUCUUCAAAUUAUGCAGGAGAGUAACUGUAGGUCUCAGAGACAGGUGCCUAUAAAAGCUAGGUCAGUAAAGCAAAUGAAUGGACAAGGUUGUGUCCGUUCAAUAACAGGUGCAUGAAGACAAAUGUAUGUUGUGGUAAUGUUAAAAAGGAAUACAAGACUAUGAAGGGUGGAAGAGGGAGAGAUGAGUGUUGCAGAAAUGUUGACUGAAAAGGAAAAAAUAAAGACCAGAUUUUAGGGAAUAGAGCAGAGAGGGCAAAGAAAUUUCAGUGAAGACCCUGCUUCCACUGGGUUCACGUAGAAGGAGAAAAACACUCCCUCUUGAGGGUGACAAGGUGACUAUGGCAACCAUCUUGAACCGGAACCAGGCCUGAAUUUAUUAACUCUGUGAGGAGUUUGCACUAUAGGUUGAGGAACGACAACCAAAUGGAUAGAAAAAUCUAUCCUAACGCAGGAAUAGAAAAGCAAAUACUGCAUGUUCUCACUUAUAAGUGGGAGCUACAUGAUGAGAACACAUGGACACACAGAAGGAAGCAACACACCCUGGGGCCUGUUGGGAGGUGGAGUGUGGGAGUAGGGAGAGGAUCAGCAAAGAUAGCUACUGGGUAUUGGGCUUGACACCUGGGUGACAAAGUGGUCUGUGCAGCGGACCCCCAUGGCACAAGUCUGCCUGUAUGGCAGACCUGCAUAUGUACUCCUGAACUUAAAAUAAAAGUUAAAUUAAAAAAAGUCUAUUCUAAGAGGAAUUAGUCUUGUAAGUAGAUCAUCCCCACACCUCCAUAUGAGCUGCUUGCCCCAGAAUCACACAUGGUCAUGAGUCAGCAUCUGGGAGGGAAAACAACAGCCCCCGGACCAAGAAGGUAUCACUGUCCCUUAGCACAGGGGCAGAGGGAGAGACUGACCAUAGUUGCUUUCUGGAGAUUUUCAUGACCUAGAGGCAAGGCCCCAGAAAUCUGGAAGCUAAGUGUUCUUAAAAUAUCUACAUAAACUUAUUAAAAAAUCACCAGUUUUUCUUUAAGCCCGAUAGUGUUUGGUUUUCAGACACUUGCAAUUGUAAAAGUCCUCUGACUUUUUCAAUUGUCUCUUAUCAACUUAUGAAAAGUUGCUCGAGCUUGCUCAAAACAAGAGAAACAAAUUAAAAUGAAAAGAGAUGCCAUUUUCACCUAUCUGAUUUGAAAAGAUCUAAAUGUUCAAUAACAGGCUAUGUUGGCCAAGCUGUGAGAAAGUGGGUACGCUCAUACACUGUCGAUGAAAUAUAAGCUGUUUGCAAUGUUUAUGAAGGGCAAUGUGGGAAUAUUUAUUAAAAUAAAAAAUUCAUGGACUAAACCCAGGAAUUCUACUUCUAGAAAUUUAUUCCACAAAUAUACUUAUACAUGUGAAAAAUGCUAAAUAUAUGAGGCUAUUCAUUAUAGUAUUGUUUAUAACAAUAAAAGAUAUAAAUGAGCCUAAAUGUCCAUCAAGAGAGACUGGUUAAAUGAAGUAUGGUACAACCACAUGGUGGAAUACUCUGAUAUAUGUUGUUUGGUGAAUCAAUUAAUUUUGUGCUACCACUUGUAUAAAAGGAAGGGGACAGAAAAUGUUUAUUCAAAUAUAUGUCAAUCUCUGGAAGGACAUGGAAGAAAAUAAUGAGUGGUUACAUAUUUGGGAAGCAGGCAUGAGGACUUACCAGAUGAGACAAAGUUGAAAAGGAGCUUUUUGUUUUUGUUUUCACUGAAUAUUCC
rnacentral:lncRNA from 1 species